rnacentral:rRNA from 1 species
AUGGUCUCGGAGUUGAUUGACAAUACAUCGGCGACGUGGAAGGAACAUUUGAUCAGAGCCACGUUCAGACCCUUUGAUGCCGAUGCAAUCAUGUUAUUACCACUUUGCACCAGGGUGAUCGAGGAAUUCUGGGCAUGGUCUACCGAGAGGAAUGGUAAAUUUAGUGUCAUAUCAGCGUGCAGACUGGUGAUGAAUACAAGGGAGCACCGGGUGAAUUGGUUGGAGGAAAUUUCGGGGGCUUCUUCUUUGGAAGCUACCAAUAAGGCAUGGACUGAUAUAUGGCAUAUAAAAGUGCCAUCGAAGCUCAGGGUCUUCCUAUGGCAUUUGGCACGGCAGUCGAUUCCAUCGAUGGAUCUCCUUCACCACAGAAAUAUAAAAGUCCUCGAGGAACCUAGGAGGGAAGAUCCUGGGCGAUCCGCCCCUCGACCGCGCCAGUGGAUCAAGCCUCCUGAUAUGGCUUUCAAUAUCAACGUUGAUGCAGCGGUGGCACAAAACAGAGGACGAGGAGCAGCAGCAGCAAUCCGCCGUAAUCACAAUGGCGUUUUUCAGGGAGCUUCAGCCAUAGUUUUCAAGGGAGUUCAUGAUCCUCCCACUCUUGAAGCUUUAUCAAUUCGUGAAGCUCUCGCCCUUGCUGAGGAUCUAAACUUGCAGAAACUACAUGUGGCAUCGGACUUUUGUAGUUUUGUUCAUGAAUUUAGGAGCUCGAAUUUCAAGGCUCACAGUCUAGCGAGGCAUGUUUUAAAGUUGAGGGUUGGCCGUCAUGUUUGGUUAGGCAACCCUGAUAAUCUUUCUUUUGUUGUGAAGCUCACGAACGUCGACAUGACAUGGCUCUCGACUUCUCCGCUCGUCGCCGGGCCCAAAUUACAGCCUGUCCGUGCGGACAUCUGCGAGGCCGUGGCCGAAGCUAGUACCCGGCGUCAACCUCUGUUCAUCAAUGCGGCGAGACGGGUGACAUGUUGA